UCAUUUGGGGGCUAAAAAUGUUAGGUGCCUCGAUCAAACCAAUAAUUGGAGGGAGUAGAACUCACAAAAGCCAAUGACUGAAGUUGACGGUGGGGGCCAAUUGCAAGAUGUGGAAGCCGAAGGGGGCCAGAGGGCCAAAGGAGAUUGGUGGCCAAUGCAAGAGCCAAGAUCAUGCCCCAAGGCCCAUAGGCUGAGGUAGGGAUCGAUCAAGCAUAAGGAGUAUGAUCACUCA
rnacentral:lncRNA from 1 species